CUGAUCAGGUAGUGAUCGUAUCCCACCAGAAAGCCACGGUUAAUUACGUGCCAGCAGGCGCUGUAAUAUGUAGGUGGCAAGCGUUGUCCGGAUUUAUUGGGCGUAAAGCGAGCGCAGGCGGUUUCUUAAGUCUGAUGUGAAAGCCUUCGGCUCAACCGAAGAAGUGCAUCGGAAACUGGGAAACUUGAGUGCAGAAGAGGACAGUGGAACUCCAUGUGUAGCGGUGAAAUGCGUAGAUAUAUGGAAGAACACCAGUGGCGAAGGCGGCUGUCUGGUCUGUAACUGACGCUGAGGCUCGAAAGCAUGGGUAGCAAACAGGAUUAGAUACCCUGGUAGUCCAUGCCGUAAACGAUGAGUGCUAGGUGUUGGAGGGUUUCCGCCCUUCAGUGCCGCAGCUAACGCAUUAAGCACUCCGCCUGGGGAGUACGACCGCAAGGUUGAAACUCAAAGGAAUUGACGGGGGCCCGCACAAGCGGUGGAGCAUGUGGUUUAAUUCGAAGCAACGCGAAGAACCUUACCAGGUCUUGACAUCCUUUGACCACUCUAGAGAUAGAGCUUUCCCUUCGGGGACAAAGUGACAGGUGGUGCAUGGUUGUCGUCAGCUCGUGUCGUGAGAUGUUGGGUUAAGUCCCGCAACGAGCGCAACCCUUAUUACUAGUUGCCAGCAUUAAGUUGGGCACUCUAGUGAGACUGCCGGUGACAAACCGGAGGAAGGUGGGGACGACGUCAAAUCAUCAUGCCCCUUAUGACCUGGGCUACACACGUGCUACAAUGGAUGGUACAACGAGUUGCGAGACCGCGAGGUUUAGCUAAUCUCUUAAAACCAUUCUCAGUUCGGAUUGUAGGCUGCAACUCGCCUACAUGAAGCCGGAAUCGCUAGUAAUCGCGGAUCAGCAUGCCGCGGUGAAUACGUUCCCGGGCCUUGUACACACCGCCCGUCACACCAUGAGAGUUUGUAACACCCAAAGCCGGUGAGGUAACCCUUCGGGGAGCCAGCCGUCUAAGG
rnacentral:rRNA from 1 species